AUUGAACGCUGGCGGCAGGCUUAACACAUGCAAGUCGAGCGGAGCGAGGGUGCUUGCACCUUAGCUUAGCGGCGGACGGGUGAGUAAUGCUUAGGAAUCUGCCUAUUAGUGGGGGACAACAUUCCGAAAGGAAUGCUAAUACCGCAUACGCCCUACGGGGGAAAGCAGGGGAUCUUCGGACCUUGCGCUAAUAGAUGAGCCUAAGUCGGAUUAGCUAGUUGGUGGGGUAAAGGCCUACCAAGGCGACGAUCUGUAGCGGGUCUGAGAGGAUGAUCCGCCACACUGGGACUGAGACACGGCCCAGACUCCUACGGGAGGCAGCAGUGGGGAAUAUUGGACAAUGGGCGGAAGCCUGAUCCGGCCAUGCCGCGUGUGUGAAGAAGGCCUUUUGGUUGUAAAGCACUUUAAGCGAGGAGGAGGCUACUUAGAUUAAUACUCUGGGAUAGUGGACGUUACUCGCAGAAUAAGCACCGGCUAACUCUGUGCCAGCAGCCGCAGUAA
rnacentral:rRNA from 1 species